rnacentral:rRNA from 1 species
UGCGGUUAAUUGGACUCAACGCCGGGCAGCUCACCGGAUAAGACAGCUGGAUGAUAGCCGGGCUGAAGACUCUGCUUGACUAGCUGAGAGGAGGUGCAUGGCCGUCGUCAGUUCGUACUGUGAAGCAUCCUGUUAAGUCAGGCAACGAGCGAGACCCACGCCAACAGUUGCCAGCAUGUCCUCCGGGAUGAUGGGGACACUGUUGGGACCGCCUCUGCUAAAGAGGAGGAAGGAAUGGGGCAACGGUAGGUCAGCAUGCCCCGAAUUAUCCGGGCUACACGCGGGCUACAAUGGUCAGGACAAUGGGUAUCGACACCGAGAGGUGGAGGCAAUCUCCUAAACCUGUCCUUAGUUCGGAUUGUGGGCUGCAACUCGCCCACAUGAAGCUGGAAUCCGUAGUAAUCGCGUUUCAAAAUAGCGCGGUGAAUAUGUCCCUGCUCCUU